rnacentral:rRNA from 1 species
UAUCUCUGUAGAGUCUGCAUAUCAAUAAGCGGAGGAAAAGAAACUAACUAGGAUUCCCUCAGUAACGGCGAGUGAAGCGGGAAGAGCUCAAAUUUGAAAUCUUCAAGGUUCUACCUUGACGAAUUGUAGUUUAAAGAAGUGUUUUCUGUUAGAGGAGUUAGUAAAAGUUCUUUGGAAUAGGACAUCAUAGAGGGUGAGAAUCCCGUAUUUGACUAUUCUUUCUAGCUUUGUGAUACACUUUCAAAGAGUCGGAUUGUUUGGGAAUGCAGUCCAAAAUGGGUGGUAAAUUUCAUCUAAAGCUAAAUAUUGGCGAGAGACCGAUAGCGAACAAGUACCGUGAGGGAAAGAUGAAAAGAACUUUGAAAAGAGAGUUAAACAGUACGUGAAAUUGUCAAGAGGGAAGCGUUUGACACCAGUGUUGUUUUCUCGAAAAUCAAUUAAAAAUGGCUUGAUUUUGUGUUGUAUUGACCUUAAAAGCUUUCUUCACUUUUUUCAUGUCUUUUUUAAUGCACUUUUCGUUUAACAAGUCAACAUCAGUUUCUUUUGUUGUAAAAAGGUCAUUGGAAGGUGGCUUCCUUUUCGGAGAAAGUGUUUAUAGCCUUUGACUCCUGCAAUCGGAGAGACUGAGGUCUGCAGCGUAGAUCCUUCUGGAUUAGAUUCAUUUGUGCUAAGUUACAACCGUUUAUAGACAACUUGUUGACUAUGUUUAGUCAUGUAGCUUACUCGUAAGUGCUAUUUUACCUACGCUUAGGAUGUUGAGCGCAUGUCUCUCUCU